AAACUGCUUUGUUACAGCUUCUUGAAAUCCUCCUGUAGGAGCGGAAUGGAGGUUGUUUGGUGCUGGUUAGAGACUUCUUGCAUGUAGCUGGGACUUGUGCUUAGUUUGGGGUGAGUUUUGGCACUGAAAAUGUGCUGUAGAAACUCCAGUCAGGUGGCCAGGAUUGUCUGCCAGCAGCGUGGGGUGGCUGAGGUUUGUAGGAGCUCCUGGGUCACAGAAUCUCGAGGGUUGGAAGGGACCUCAAAAGCUCAUCCAGUGCAACCCCCUCCCAGAGCACGACCACCUGGAGUAGGGCACACAGGAACUCGUCCAGGUGGGUUUGGAAUGUCUCUACAGGAGACUCAAACAUCCGUCAUGUGUGUUGCAGGAGAGGUCCCAUCCCUUUGCUGUGCUUGCAGUGAGUGCAUGGAGGGAGCUCAAGCUGCUGGAGCCCAGUGCCACGGUCCUGCAGAGACCAGACCUGCACCAGCAGCCAGGCUGCUCUGGAAGGGUGGCACCUGUGACGACAUCUCUUCCUCCAGAUAAGAGAUUAGGGCUUGUGCCUUGGUGGAGGGACGUGUGAGGCGUGUGGAUUCACUUCAGCAGCCUGGGAUGGGAAGAAUCUUUCCUUUCCUGGAAGUGCAAGUGGCCGUGAGGAAAUCUGCAGAGCAGCUCCCUCUACCAAAGGGCAGAGCAGCCCAGGUGGGCAGCAUCCCUGCAGACCUUGCCCACAAACCUUGUAGCUCAUAUCCAGCGUCAGCAAGAGCAGCAGUGGCUCUGGCAGUGUGCCUUUGUGAUGACAUACUGUGGGGGGUUUUGAGGAGCUGGAUUGCGCUGCCUCACUUCCCAGGGGAUUCAUCGCUCCUGCCCAGGCUCAGCUGAGAGGAUGGCGACAGAGCGAGCCGAGAUCAUAAUCCCUCCACCUCAUCCCUUGAGUCCAAGGCCUCAGGAAACCUUUAAUCCUUUUGGAUUGUAAAGAAAACUUUUGGACAUGUACUUGAGAGAGCAAAGAGGUGAUGUGUGUAGGGGUUAAGACAUGCCCAUGGCUGGCUCAGCUCCCGUGUCCAGCAAGGCAGAGAAAAACUCCCCCAAGUGAUGGAGGACAAGAGGAAAAGCCAAUAGCUGCGAGGGAAAAGCAACCUCAGUCACAUCCACAUGAGUCAGCCCAGCUGGGAAUAGGCCAGAACCACUUGACAUGUAAAGAAUUUAUAGAGGUUCUCUGCAAACAGAUGUAAGAAAGAAGCUAAUGGGCUGAGAGACUACAAAGCUGGGGAGAUUCCAUGGCCACCACAGCCUGGGGCUUGAAGCAGAGAGGUGAGUGUAAAUAGCUCCUCGGGGCUGUCCCAGGCAGGGAGUCACUGCCCAUGUGACAGCAAAAACAGGUGAGAAAGAGUAAAUCUGGCAGCUGGGUGUAGAUGGGUCUGUGAUAAGAAAUGUGAAGGACAGGAAAGGGCUUUGACAGAGAAUGGAAUCACAACAUGGUGGGGCUACAGCAGCUUCCCCUGGCUCAGGGGGCACAGGAACGUGU